rnacentral:tRNA from 4 species
GCCCGGGUGGCGAAACUGGCAGACGCAGGGGGCUUAAACCCCCUGGGAGUUCACUCUCCGUGCGGGUUCGAAUCCCGCCCCGGGCA